GAAGGCCCUUCGGGGUACUCGAGUGGCGAACGGGUGAGUAACACGUGGGUGAUCUGCCCUGCACUCUGGGAUAAGCCUGGGAAACUGGGUCUAAUACCGGGAUAGGACCACACACUUCAUGGUGAGUGGUGGAAAGCUUUUGCGGUGUGGGAUGAGCCCGCGGCCUAUCAGCUUGUUGGUGGGGUAAUGGCCCACCAAGGCGACGACGGGUAGCCGGCCUGAGAGGGUGACCGGCCACACUGGGACUGAGAUACGGCCCAGACUCCUACGGGAGGCAGCAGUGGGGAAUAUUGCACAAUGGGCGCAAGCCUGAUGCAGCGACGCCGCGUGAGGGAUGACGGCCUUCGGGUUGUAAACCUCUUUCAGUAGGGACGAAGCGAAAGUGACGGUACCUACAGAAGAAGGACCGGCCAACUACGUGCCAGCAGCCGCGGUAAUACGUAGGGUCCGAGCGUUGUCCGGAAUUACUGGGCGUAAAGAGCUCGUAGGUGGUUUGUCGCGUUGUUCGUGAAAACUCACAGCUUAACUGUGGGCGUGCGGGCGAUACGGGCAGACUAGAGUACUGCAGGGGAGACUGGAAUUCCUGGUGUAGCGGUGGAAUGCGCAGAUAUCAGGAGGAACACCGGUGGCGAAGGCGGGUCUCUGGGCAGUAACUGACGCUGAGGAGCGAAAGCGUGGGUAGCGAACAGGAUUAGAUACCCUGGUAGUCCACGCCGUAAACGGUGGGUACUAGGUGUGGGUUUCCUUCCUUGGGAUCCGUGCCGUAGCUAACGCAUUAAGUACCCCGCCUGGGGAGUACGGUCGCAAGACUAAAACUCAAAGGAAUUGACGGGGGCCCGCACAAGCGGCGGAGCAUGUGGAUUAAUUCGAUGCAACGCGAAGAACCUUACCUGGGUUUGACAUGCACAGGACGUACCUAGAGAUAGGUAUUCCCUUGUGGCCUGUGUGCAGGUGGUGCAUGGCUGUCGUCAGCUCGUGUCGUGAGAUGUUGGGUUAAGUCCCGCAACGAGCGCAACCCUUGUCCUAUGUUGCCAGCGGGUAAUGCCGGGGACUCGUAGGAGACUGCCGGGGUCAACUCGGAGGAAGGUGGGGAUGACGUCAAGUCAUCAUGCCCCUUAUGUCCAGGGCUUCACACAUGCUACAAUGGCCAGUACAGAGGGCUGCGAUGCCGCAAGGUGGAGCGAAUCCCUUAAAGCUGGUCUCAGUUCGGAUUGGGGUCUGCAACUCGACCCCAUGAAGUCGGAGUCGCUAGUAAUCGCAGAUCAGCAACGCUGCGGUGAAUACGUUCCCGGGCCUUGUACACACCGCCCGUCACGUCAUGAAAGUCGGUAACACCCGAAGCCAGUGGCCU
rnacentral:rRNA from 1 species